AUCCAGACUCCUACGGGAGGCAGCAGUGGGGAAUAUUGCACAAUGGGGGGAACCCUGAUGCAGCGACGCCGCGUGGGUGAAGGAGUACUUCGGUACGUAAAGCCCUAUCAGCAGGAAAGAAAAUGACGGUACCUGACUAAGAAGCCCCGGCUAAUUACGUGCCAGCAGCCGCGGUAAUACGUAGGGGGCAAGCGUUAUCCGGAUUUACUGGGUGUAAAGGGAGCGUAGGCGGCGAAGAAAGUCUGAAGUGAAAGCCCGCGGCUCAACCGCGGAACUGCUUUGGAAACUUUUUUGCUGGAGUACCGGAGAGGUAAGCGGAAUUCCUAGUGUAGCGGUGAAAUGCGUAGAUAUUAGGAGGAACACCAGUGGCGAAGGCGGCUUACUGGACGGUAACUGACGUUGAGGCUCGAAAGCGUGGGGAGCAAACAGGAUUAGAUACCCCGGUA
rnacentral:rRNA from 1 species